rnacentral:lncRNA from 1 species
UUAAUUUUCCUAAAGUUUAAAAUAUCCUCGCAUAGUGGAGCUAUAAAAUACGGAGCCGGGGGCGCCAGCAGACACCCGGCCACAGGGGGCGCCACAUCGCCCCCUGUUUGGACAGGGCGUUGUCCAAGAAGAAAAACCCGAAAAUUAAAGCUUGAGAUCUGACCUUUUCAGAAUGUAGCAAAUAAGUUUCCAAUUCCAUCCUAAUGAUUUUGAGUAAUGCCUGACCCAGCCAUCCACCAUUCAGAUUUUUC